AAACUAACCAGGAUUCCCCUAGUAACGGCGAGUGAAGAGGGAAAAGCCCAAAUUUGUAAUCUGGCUCUUUCAGAGUCCGAGUUGUAAUUUUAAGAACUGUUUUCCGUGCUGGACCAUUUCUAAGUCUGUUGAAAAAUAGCAUCAUUGAGGGUGAUAAUCCCGUUCAUGAUAUGGACUGCCAGUGCAAUGUGAUACAGUUUCUAAGAGUCGAGUUGUUUGGGAAUGCAGCUCAAAGUGGGUGGUAAAUUCCAUCUAAGGCUAAAUAUAGGUGAGAGACCGAUUGCAUACAAAUACCGUGAGGGAAAGAUGAAAAGAACUUUGGAAAGAGAGUUAAAAGUACGUGAAAUUGUUGUAAGGGAAACAAUUAAAGUUAGCCUUGUGCUUGUUAGUUCAGCUCUUUAACUAGGGUGUAUUCUAACAAUGUCACGGACCAACAUCAGUUUUUGGGUGCUGGAUAAGGGCUCCGGAAAUGUAGCAGUCUCGGCUGUGUUAUAGUCCGGGGUUUGGAUACAGUGCCUGGGACUGAGGAGAUCUGCAGCAAGCCAGUCAAAUGGCCGCCCUUUUUAAGGGCUCCCCUGCUGAGGAUGUUGGUGUCAAUAGCUUUAACUGAC
rnacentral:rRNA from 1 species